rnacentral:rRNA from 1 species
GACGAAGGUGGCGAGCGUUGUUCGGUGUCACUGGGCUUAAAGAGUGUGUAGGCGGAAAGGUAAGCGUCCUGUGAAAGCCCCCGGCUUAACCGGGGAACUGCGCGGCGAACUGCCUUUCUUGAGGCAAGUAGGGGUGCAUGGAACUCUUGGUGGAGCGGUGGAAUGCGUAGAUAUCAAGAGGAACGCCAGUGGUGAAAACGGUGCACUGGGCUUGGCCUGACGCUGAGACACGAAAGCGUGGGGAGCGAACGGGAUUAGAUACCCCCGUA